CUCCCCCCGCACCCCGGAGGCCGGUGGGCCUUCAGGAGACAGGGCCAGGCCAGAUGUGUUUGUUAAAGAUGCCUCUGGAGGGCCCUGGAGGAUGGAUGAGGUUGGUGGAGGUGAGAGGUUUGGUUAGGGUUGGAUGGAUGAGAGGUUAAGGAGAGGUUACAGGGAAAUCCAGCAGAGGGACAAUGGCCUGACCUAGGGCACCAGCAGGAGCCGGGGGAGAUGAGAGCUCUUUAAGAAGUGACUGUAUCUGGUGCUUGGAUGCAAAGGGUGAUGAACUGGAGGAGCCCAGCACAUCUCCCAGAGCGGCAGCACUUUCCCAAAUGUCAUCUCAUGUGCUGCCCUCUGAGAACACAAGAGAAGCAGAUGUGCUCAAACCCAUUGUAAAGUAGAGGACACAGCCUCAGAGAGCUAGAAUUCAGACCCCCUAGCUCCAGAACCAGACGCCGAAGACCCCGUUUCACAGGAAAGGGACAAUGAGACGUGUGGUGAUCCUGGCACACGCAGGGUAAGGUGCCGCCCAGGAAGAAAGGCUGUGUGGUCCAUCAGUUGAAGCCCCCAAGGUGGCUCCAGCCUAGUUUCAUUUCCUCCAACUCGCUCCAUGAUCUUGGGCCAAAUCCCUUUUACCUGUCUGCACCUCCAUCUCCCCGUCUGUAAAAGGAGAUGAUUCUUCUACCAUCCCGAGGGUUGCUGUGAAGAUAAAACAAACACGCGCUCAGGCAGUGGAGCCCCGAUUGAUGGUGGUGGUGCCUCUCAUCCCCGGUUCCCCCACCUGCCCGUCAUCCAUGUCAGCAACCUCAGGCUCUGCUCUGGGGGACAGAGGCGGACGCAGUCCAUUUUCCCCCGGGAGCCACCACCUUGAACUCCUGUUCCCUGGAGCAAUGACUAACCCCGAGGGACUGAAGCCGAACUCCGGGUCCCCAUCAACACCACCCCGGGGCCCGGGCAGCUCCUGUGUCCCAGUCCUGCAGCCGGCCCUGCCGGCUCCUGCCAUUUGGCCGCAGCUCCUGAACUCGUGAGAGUGUGGUGUUUUGGUUUUGCAGCGAGAAGGAAAAAAUUAAAGGCCGGGUGUGGGGACAGGAGAGGAAGAAGGAGGAGGAGGGAGAAACCCUUGAGCGGCCUGGGCCGGCCAGUUCCAGGAAUGCGUUCUCGGACAUCAGUGCCAAAGCAGUGACCCAGGCGGGGCGGCCAGGCCGGGAGAAGGGAGAGGCCGGCUCCAGGGCGAGAGCUUGCCUCUUCCCCACCCCCCUAACCCUCCCACCCUGGCUGCCUCUGCUGACUCAUCGCCGCUCCAGCUGGCAGGAGCCUUUUCUGGGGAUGGCUGUUGCUAAGAUUCCUCGGACAUGACUGAUUACUUCUCCUCGAGCCUGGUGAAAACAUGUUUGUAGAUUGCACGCAAACACACGCACCCGCUCCUGCGGAUACCUGCCCACGUGGGUUUUGUGCCCAAGUGUGUGUCUUCUUCACCCAGGUCACCAGACAUGCCUCCUGUUGUUCCCCAAGAUUCCCUGACACUUAGCUUAGCUGCUAAGCCCUAGGGUCCUGAAGAAGGGCGCAGACACGCCAGGUUUCCCCCACCCCGGCCAGUAAUUCAGGCAGUGGGGCGGCCGCCAGUGUCUGGGCCUGCUUUAAUCUGAAGGAGUUUUCAGGUUGCCUUGAACACAUUCUUGGCCUCUGUCCCUCCUCCCCUCCCUGGGUUGCUCGGUGGCCUUCAUUCUGCUGUAAUGAUCUAAUCUUCCCUUCUCCCUCUGCCUGCCAGUUUUUUUGAUGUUUGCUGUUCCAGGCACUCAGCUGGGAGCUGGAAUGUUCUAGAGCUGGAUUCCUGGCCUGGACCUGACGCCCCAGGGGGCUCCUGGCGGUGGGGGAGUGGGGAGAGCUGCCCAGUGGCUCUGUUGCCCUGGAGAGGGGGUACCGCAGUGAGGAUUCAUGGAUGACAAGUGCUCGGUCUUUCUCUGGGCUCUGCCGGGCCCCAGAGUCUUGGCUGGGGGGGUCCAAGGGCUCGGAGCGGGGGGAUGUCAGCGUGCAGCCGUGGACACCCAGCCUCUGGUUGCCAGCGCCGCGUAUGAGCUUGGUCACCUUGGGCUCUUGCUGCCUUGGUUUCCCCACCCGCUGGGCUGAAAUUGGACUCCUUGAGGAGCCUGCCAGGGUUUUACCAUGACAGGGCUUGGCAGGGUGCUUGGGCACCAGGCAAGGUUGUUUGUCACGGGUUCUCGCCGGGGUGGAGGGGCAGGCGGGCCCGUGCCAGCACGGAGCCCACGCGCUUCCUCUCGCCAGCUCUGCUGGGCUCAGGCUCAAGUGUGGCUUCUUUACAGGGACCCACCCCGGGGGCCCAGAUCCCAUGAGCAGGCGCUCUCAGCCGUGAUUUAGUGGCGGUUGCUAAGGAAGGCCUGGUACCCAGCCUGGAGGGUUGAGCUGUGGCCAACCUGGAUUCGGUAGGCGAGGCGAGGCUCCCGCCAGCCGCAGGAAAAAUCCUCUUUUCUGAGCUCAGGGUCCUCUGGCCUAAGAUGAAGACAAGGCCGGGUUCACGGCUCCUGCUGAUUUUGACAUGAGAUGAUGCAGGGCAGGAGUGGAAAUGAAGAGUAAAGCAACGACAAGAUGUAAAACGGGCUUUAGGCAUCAGUCUGUUGCCUAAUGCUCCUGGCAGCGGGACCCGUCUACUCCAGGGACCACUGCUGGGACCCCAGAGUUCAGCCUCUGGGCUUCCAGGCACAUGAGCUUCCUUUUUGACUGUUUUACUCUGUAAUUCCCAAACCUGACAACCCAGAUAGAAGCUCUAGCCCCCUCCUGGUGAGAGUAAGGCUAGCAAGCCGGGUGCUGGCUUUGUCCAGUGCGGCUGCAGUUGGGGGUGUGGGCCAGCUAUUUUCCAGAUAAAGGAAACAGAGGUGCAGAAAUGUAAAGAGAAUGAGAUUGUUAGUCGCUCAGUCAUGUCCGACUCUUUGCGACCCCAGGGCAUGUAGCCUGCCAGACUCCUCUGUCCAUGGAGGAAGAGGAGUAUUUUCUCCAAGGAGUAUAUAUCUCCAAGCAAGAAUACUGGAGUGGGUUGCCAUUCCCUUCUCCAGAGCAUCUUCCUGACCCAGGGAUUGAACCCGGGUCUCCUGCAUUGCAGGCGGAUUCUUCACCGUCUGAGCCACCAGGGAAGCCCAGAGUUGUAAAGAAGCAUCUAGUAAGUAAUAGGGCCAGGAUUCCAGCCACAGAAGUUUGUCUCCAGAGCCCAGACCUUAACCACGUCCCUUAUCGUCUCCCCGUAACUGUCAUGUCCCAGGAUGGCAAAGCAACACCAGGCGCUUUCACCUUCCCCGCUGUUGCCAUGGGCAGAACAGAAAACUGUUCCCAUAGUCCGUUUCCAGCUCGGCUUCAGCCUCUGCCCUCCGGGGAGCCCACAGAUUGGUGUCUCGUGAGAUGAGCGUCAUGGCCAGUUUUAUUACUUCGUUCGCUGCUGAAUGACCUGAGGCAGAGUGACCUUCAGCCGCUUGGACUGUCUCCUCCCCUUCUGUAUCGUAGGCUUAUGGGACUCCUGGCUUCCUUUGUUGUUCUGACAUGCAACAGAUCUUAGAAAUGCCUUCUUCUAGCACAAAGUUACAGAUGCUACCGAUGUGCCUGCUCUCAGACGCGCAGACACAGGUACACACAUGUGCAGAGACACAUAAAGGAGCAAAGUCUUAAACAGACCCUGCGGGAUCAGUCAGGCUUCUGGGAGUCUUGUGUGUUUGUUGCAUUUUCUGCGCUAGGAAUGAUCAGGGAGCAGCUGUGAGCAAACACUGACUAGCUGGGCUCUCACACACUUGUAGUUAUCACGAGCUUUUUCAGCCAGUGCUGCACACACACAGACACACACACAUGUUCUUGUUCCUGAGUCUUGUCUUCCUGUCUAGACCCAGACCAUAACGCAUUUGGGAGCAGGAUGCAUCCCCAGUACUGCUUGCCAUGGUGCAGCCUCCAUUGGGUGAUCAGUUUGUCUUUGUGCUUUGAUGGGUAAAGGAAGGACAGUGGGUGAUUUAUGCUAACAGAAUUUUUUAGUUCGAUGCAUCCACCACCCUUCUGAUACCUUCAGUAGCCAGUACCGGGACCAAAUCCCUCAUCCCUCUAUCUAAGCAGGCUUCUCACUCAGCUCCCCCACGCCGACCUCCCAGUGCCUGCAAAGGGUGCAUCCUGCAUCCCUUUGACCUCUACCCAUCCCCUCCCUUCCUUUUCCAUUUCACACACAGGGCUUUGAGUCAGUCACACACAUACUGCCUUCUUCUCCCCCUCAACCCCUUUGAUUUUCCUGUCCGGGGAAGAGCUAGGUGGAGGCCUCUGCAUGGCUGUCAGAAACAAAAAGGCUUGGAGCUGAAGGGGCUGAGCCCCAGGCCUGUGGGAGACACCCGGUGAGAGCCUGUGUUCAGUCGCUCAGUUGUGUCUGACUCUUUGCGACCCCAUGGACCUUAGCCCACCAGGCUCCUCGGUCCACGGGGAUAUUCCAGGCCACCCCAUGAAUGCAGUGAAAGGAAUACUGGGGUGGGCUGCCAUUUCCUACUCCAGGGGAUCUUCCCGACCCAGGGAUUGAACCUGCACCCACUCCUCCUCAUUUAGACAUUCCCUCCCUUGAAGCCCGCCUGGGGAACCGGAAGUACCAGAACUGUAACCGGACCCCUGGGAGCCGCAGGGUUAGCCUGUGGCAGUCUUCAGGAGGGUGGGGCCUGAGGAAAUUAAAAUGCUCCGAGUCCUGCUGCAAUACCCAGGGCCUCCAGUGCGUGGCGCCUCGGGGUUUAGAGGCUGGAAUGAGUGAGUGAAGUCGCUCAGUCGUGUCCGACUCUUUGCGACCCCAUGGACCGUAGCCCAACAGGCUCCUCUGUCCACAGGAUUUUCCAGGCAAGAGUACUGGAGUGGAUUGCCAUUUUAGGAUGUGAGAAUUGGACUACAAAGAAAGCUGAGCGCAGAAGAAUCGAAACUUUUGAACUGUGCUGUUGGAGAAGACUCUUGAGAGUCCCUUGGCCUGCAAGGAGAUCCAACCAGUCCAUUCUGAAGGAGAUCAGUCCUGGGUGUUCAUUGGAAGGACUGAUGCUGAAAGCUGAAACUCCAAUACUUUGCCACCUGAUGUGAAGAGCUGACUCAUUUGAAAAGAUCCUGAUGCUGGGAAAGAUUGAAGGAGGAGAAGGGAACGACAGAGGAUGAGAUGGUUGGAUGGCAUCACUGACUCAAUGGACAUGGGUUUCGGUGAACUCUGGGAGUUGGUGAUGGACAGGGAGGCCUGGCGUGCUGUGGUUCAUGGGGUCGCAAAGAGUUGGACACAACUGAGCGACUGAACUGAACUGCUCAAAUAGGGGAGAGAGAAGAAGCAACAGGUUCCCUUGUUUGCUCUGCUCCCCACUCCCCACUGAGCCUGUCCCUUACGUGGGUGAAGGUAGGGAUGUGUCCGGGGGUCAGGCCUGGGGGGUGACCUAGGUGGACUGCCACCUCUUAGGCGGUGGUCUGUCCGGGGAUGUUUGCAGUACCCUGCUUUUGCUCUCACGGAGAAGGCAAUGGCACCCCACUCUAGUACUCUUGCCUGGAAAAUUCCAUGGACGGGGAGCCUGGUAGGCUGCAAUCCAUGGGGUCGCUAAGAGUCAGACAUAACUGAGCGACUUCAUUUUCCCUUUUCGCUUUCAUGCAUUGGAGAAGGAAAUGGCAACCCACUCCAGUGUUCUUGCCUGGAGAAUCCCAGGGACGGGGGAUCCUGGUGCGCUGCUGUCUAUGGGGUCGCACAGAGUCGGACACGACUGAAGUGACUUAGCAGCAGCAGCAGCUUUUGCUCUCAACACCCUGUUUUUGCUCCAGGAUCCUCAAAAGUGGCAGUUGGGUGUUUUGAUCUCUUGGUAUCUUUUGGGUCAGAAUUUGCCCCAACCGUGGCAUGCGUGGGGUUAUUUUUAGUCCCAUACGGUUUCUUUGUAUUUUGUUGCUCAGGGAGAGGUGUGUCCAGGUGCAAGCAUGUAGCUCCGCUGCAAAGGGUCCCAGGUCCCAGCCUGUCUCACCCCCACCCUCUAAACUGAAGGCUUGGCACAGAGGCACAUGUUGAAGCAAGUCUCCGCAGCUCUCUCCCUGCCCUCCAGACACACCCAGGAUGAACCCGGUCCAACACUGCCCUCUGCCCUCCUCCACCUGCUCUGCAAGCGCAGGCCCGCAAGAGUGGACCUCAAUCCAGUGGGCACGCAGAGCCAGGCUGGGGCACCCCCAGCGGAGGCAGGCACCCAGCCUCACCUGCUGCCUGGUCUAGAAAAAGUCCCAGUGUUCUGAGGAAGGGUUUCGCUUCCCACUGCACUCUCCCGUCCACUCAGCCCCGGGAUCCUGCAUUUCAGUGUUGGUCUGGACUCCAUACCUUCCCCUCCCCCAAGAGAAACACUCGGUGCGCUCUGUCAUAUUUAUCCUUGUUAUGAAAUGAUUGUUGUAAGAAAAAAUGGACAGUCACAGAAAUAGAAAUCACACCUUCUCCUGUUAUACAGAAACAAUUCUGCUAAUAUUUUUAUUUUUUUUCUUGGAAAUCACACCCCUGUGUUCCAUUUUAUUUUUUAACAACCCAUUUGCACAUGCUGUUUUGUAACCUGCCUCCCCACCACCCCCCACCGCCCACUCAGCUAUGUAUCUUAAACAUCUUUCCAGGUCAUUAAAUAUUCUUCUACCAAGAAAUGUCAAUGGCCACCCAGUGUUCUAUAAAUAAACCAUUAUUUAUU
ensembl:lncRNA